rnacentral:rRNA from 1 species
GAUGAACGCUAGCUACAGGCUUAACACAUGCAAGUCGAGGGGUAACGAGAGGAAAGCUUGCUUUCCUUGUCGACGACCGGCGCACGGGUGAGUAACGCGUAUCCAACCUGCCCCCAACUAGGGAAUAACCUUGCGAAAGUAAGACUAAUACCCUAUAAUUUCCUCAGAUGACAUCUGACGAGGAAUAAAGAUUUAUCGGUUGUGGAUGGGGAUGCGUCUGAUUAGCUUGUUGGCGGGGUAACGGCCCAACAAGGCAACGAUCAGUAGGGGUUCUGAGAGGAAGGUCCCCCACAUUGGAACUGAGACACGGUCCAAACUCCUACGGGAGGCAGCAGUGAGGAAUAUUGGUCAAUGGGCGGAAGCCUGAACCAGCCAAGUAGCGUGCAGGAUGACGGCCCUAUGGGUUGUAAACUGCUUUUAUACAGGAAUAAAGUUAGCCACGUGUGGUUAUUUGUAGGUACUGUAUGAAUAAGGACCGGCUGAUUCCGUGCCAGCCGCCGCCGUAA